GAUGAACGCUGGCGGCGUGCCUAAUACAUGCAAGUCGAGCGAACGGACGAGAAGCUUGCUUCUCUGAUGUUAGCGGCGGACGGGUGAGUAACACGUGGAUAACCUACCUAUAAGACUGGGAUAACUUCGGGAAACCGGAGCUAAUACCGGAUGAUAUUUUGAACCGCAUGGUUCAAAAGUGAAAGACGGUUUUGCUGUCACUUAUAGAUGGAUCCGCGCUGCAUUAGCUAGUUGGUAAGGUAACGGCUUACCAAGGCAACGAUGCAUAGCCGACCUGAGAGAGUGAUCGGCCACACUGGAACUGAGACACGGUCCAGACUCCUACGGGAGGCAGCAGUAGGGAAUCGUCCGCAAUGGGCGAAAGCCUGACGGAGCAACGCCGCGUGAGUGAUGAAGGUCUUCGGAUCGUAAAACUCUGUUAUUAGGGAAGAACAUAUGUGUAAGUAACUAUGCACAUCUUGACGGUACCUAAUCAGAAAGCCACGGCUAACUACGUG
rnacentral:rRNA from 1 species